ACAGCUCAAAGAGAAGCACAAGCAGAGCGGUGGGAGCGUGGGUGCGCUGGAGGAGCUGGAGAACGCCUUCAGCCUGGCCGAGGAGUCCUGCCCCGGCAUCUCAGACAAGCUGAUGGUGCACCUGGUGGAGCGAGUGCAGAGGUUUUCACACAACAGAAACCACCUGACAUCCACCCGCUGAAGCGCGCUGCUGUUCAGAUAGGGGACAGAAGGUCGUUUGUUUUUGUCUUGAGCUCCAUAAGAACUGUGCUGACUUGGAAGGUGCCCUGUGCUGUGUCGUGCCUGCAGGGACACAUCAGAUCCUGUGGGCCUCACAUGCCAGGUCACCAGGUCACCGUCUCCUUCCAUCCCUGCAGUGUGCUGUUCUGCACGUCAGGGAUACCGUUCCAUAUGCCCGCUGCCCUCCCUCUCCUGGCCCAGCAGUAUUGCUCAUGGGGGCUCCAGCAGCCAGCGUGGCCCUCAUGAGCUAUGCCUGGGUCUUCUGCAGACUCACGCAGCCCUAUGGCCGCUCAGACCAAGGCGCAGAGCAACUAUCAGGGCAGCUCUGCCUCCUCCCGUGAGGUGGGGAGAGGCAACAGGGCAGCCCCCAGAGGAGUGUCCUGGCCGCUGUCCUCCUGGGGCCCAUGAUGGCCAUAGAUUUGCCUUGUGGUGUUGGAUCAGGUACUGUGUCUGCUCAUAAGUACUUGUGUCAUCCAGAAUGUUUUGUUUUUUAAGAAAAUUGAAUUUACUCGUUUCCUGAAAUAUUCUGAGAUUAAUAUGUUAGUUUUCAUAGAACAUUGAGAGGCCCCUGCC
rnacentral:sRNA from 1 species